rnacentral:rRNA from 1 species
UACGGGGGGUGCGAGCGUUGUCCGGAAUCACUGGGCGUAAAGGGCGCGUAGGUGGCUUGGAAAGUCUGUGGUGAAAGCCCGGGGCUCAACCCCGGGUCUGCCGUGGAUACUAUCAGGCUUGAGCAUACUAGAGGCAGGUAGAAUUCCGGGAGUAGCGGUGGAAUGCGUAGAGAUCCGGAAGAAGACCGGUGGCGAAGGCGGCCUGCUGGGGUAUUGCUGACACUGAGGCGCGACAGCGUGGGGAGCAAACAGG